rnacentral:miRNA from 1 species
CACAGAUGAUGUGAUUCUGAGA